rnacentral:tRNA from 1 species
UAGGUAGAAGCCCGCUGGUUUGGGCAUAUAGCUGUUAACUAUAGUGUUAUGGGAUUGAGGCCCAUCUGCCUAG